CGACGAGGUAGAUAGGUUGGAGGUGGAAGUGCAGCAAUGCAUGGAGCUGACCAAUACUAAUCGGUCGAGGGCUUAUCCUAAAA
rnacentral:rRNA from 1 species